AACGAACGCUGGCGGCAGGCCUAACACAUGCAAGUCGAACGCUCGUAGCAAUACGAGAGUGGCAGACGGGUGAGUAACACGUGGGAACCUUCCCUAUGGUUCGGAGUAGCUCAGGGAAACUUGGGGUAAUACCGGNUAAGCCCUUCGGGGGAAAGGAUUUAUCGCCAUUGGAUGGGCCCGCGUCGGAUUAGCUAGUUGGUGAGGUAACGGCUCACAAGGCAACGAUCCGUAGCUGGUCUGAGAGGA
rnacentral:rRNA from 1 species